AGAGUUUGAUCCUGGCUCAGAACGAACGCUGGCGGCGUGCUUAAUACAUGCAAGUCGUGCGAGAAAGCAUCCUUCGGGGUGUGAGUAGAGCGGCGAACGGGUGAGUAACACGUAAGCAACCUGCCUCCAAGUCUGGAAUAACCUUGCCAACGCGGGGCUAAUACCGGAUGUGGUCCUUGUAUCGCAUGGUACUUGGACUAAAGAUGGUCUUCGGAUUAUUGCUUGGAGAUGGGCUUGCGGACCAUUAGCUUGUUGGUGGGGUAACGGCCUACCAAGGCUUCGAUGGUUAGCCGACCUGAGAGGGUGAUCGGCCACAUUGGGACUGAGAUACGGCCCAGACUCCUACGGGAGGCAGCAGUAGGGAAUUUUGCGCAAUGGACGAAAGUCUGACGCAGCAACGCCGCGUGAGGGAUGAAGGUCUUCGGGUUGUAAACCUGUUGAGUGGGAAGAAAAAGUUUGGGUAACGCCAAACCAUGACGGUACCACUCGAGGAAGCCCCGGCUAACUACGUGCCAGCAGCCGCGGCAAUACGUAGGGGGCAAGCGUUGUUCGGAAUCACUGGGCGUAAAGGGAGCGUAGGCGGAGCGGUAAGUUAGGAGUUAAAGCCACGGGCUCAACCCGUGACCUGCUUUUAAUACUGUCGCUCUUGAGUAUGGGAGAGGGAGAUGGAAUUCCAGGUGUAGCGGUGGAAUGCGUAGAUAUCUGGAAGAACACCAGUUGCGAAGGCGGUCUCCUGGCCCAAUACUGACGCUGAGGCUCGAAAGCUAGGGGAGCAAACAGGAUUAGAUACCCUGGUAGUCCUAGCCGUAAACGAUGGACACUAGUUGCUGGAAGAGUCAAUCCUCUCAGUGACGAAGCUAACGCAUUAAGUGUCCCGCCUGGGGAGUACGCUCGCAAGGGUGAAACUCAAAGGAAUUGACGGGGGCCCGCACAAGCGGUGGAGCAUGUGCUUUAAUUCGAUGCAACGCGAAGAACCUUACCUGGGUUUGACAUGGGAGUGAAAGUCUUCAGAGAUGAGGGCCUUUCCUUCGGGAACACUCUACACAGGUGCUGCAUGGUUGUCGUCAGCUCGUGUCGUGAGAUGUUGGGUUAAGUCCCGCAACGAGCGCAACCCCUGCCCUUAGUUGCCAGCACGUAAUGGUGGGAACUCUAAGGGGACUGCCUGGAUCAACCAGGAGGAAGGUGGGGAUGACGUCAAAUCCUCAUGGCCCUUACGCCCAGGGCUAGACACGUGCUACAAUGGCCGGUACAAUGGGAUGCCAAACCGCGAGGUGGAGCUAAUCCCCCAAAACCGGUCUCAGUUCGGAUUGGAGUCUGCAAUUCGACUCCAUGAAGUUGGAAUCGCUAGUAAUCGCGGAUCAGCAUGCCGCGGUGAAUACGUUCCCGGGCCUUGUACACACC
rnacentral:rRNA from 1 species